rnacentral:rRNA from 1 species
AUAUUCAAGGAUGCUUAGUACGGCGAGUGAAGCGGCAAAAGCUCAAAUUUGAAAUCUGGCACCUUCGGUGUCCGAGUUGUAAUUUGAAGAAGGUAACUUUGGAGUUGGCUCUUGUCUAUGUUCCUUGGAACAGGACGUCACAGAGGGUGAGAAUCCCGUGCGAUGAGAUGCCCAAUUCUAUGUAAAGUGCUUUCGAAGAGUCGAGUUGUUUGGGAAUGCAGCUCUAAGUGGGUGGUAAAUUCCAUCUAAAGCUAAAUAUUGGCGAGAGACCGAUAGCGAACAAGUACAGUGAUGGAAAGAUGAAAAGAACUUUGAAAAGAGAGUGAAAAAGUACGUGAAAUUGUUGAAAGGGAAGGGCUUGAGAUCAGACUUGGUAUUUUGCGAUCCUUUCCUUCUUGGUUGGGUUCCUCGCAGCUUACUGGGCCAGCAUCGGUUUGGAUGGUAGGAUAAUGACUAAGGAAUGUGGCUCUACUUCGGUGGAGUGUUAUAGCCUUGGUUGAUACUGCCUGUCUAGACCGAGGACUGCGUCUUUUGACUAGGAUGUUGGCAUAAUGAUCUUAAGCCACCCGUCUUAAACUAGGACCAAAAAAAAUUUGCCUUCUUUUUGCCCUAGGGAAUGUUGGCCUAAGUGGAUCCUAAAGCCCACCCCCUCUUGAACCAUCCGGGUCCAAACAAA